AUAAAUCAUUAAAUUUAAAAGAUUUGGCGGUAUUUUAUAUAAUUAGAGGAACCUGUGUAUUAAUUGAUAAUCCACAAUAAGAAUAACUUAAAAAUUUAUGUAUUGCUGUUUAAAGAUUAUUAUUAAUUAAUUUUUUGUAUAUUUAAUUUAAAUUAAUUCAAGUCAAAAUAUAGUAUAAUUAAGAUAUGGGUUACUAUUUUAUUUUGAAAGAGGAUUUAAUAGUAA
rnacentral:rRNA from 1 species